AUACAGAGGGUGCGAGCGUUAAUCGGAAUUACUGGGCGUAAAGCGCGCGUAGGCGGCUUAUUAAGUCAGAUGUGAAAUCCCCGGGCUCAACCUGGGAACUGCAUCUGAUACUGGUAAGCUCGAGUUUUGGAGAGGGAAGUAGAAUUUCAGGUGUAGCGGUGAAAUGCAUAGAGAUCUGAAGGAAUACCAGUGGCGAAGGCGACUUCCUGGCCAAAAACUGACGCUGAGGUGCGAAAGCGUGGGUAGCAAACGGGAUUAGAAACCCCAGUAGUCC
rnacentral:rRNA from 1 species